UACAUGGAUAUAUUUCGUAGUGGUGAAGACUAGGCUUUUAGUGCAAUCAUCACCCAAAUAGUGUACAUUGUAGCCAAUAGGUAGUACUGUAUCCCUCACCCCCUUCUCACCCUUCUACCUACAGGAGCCUCCAAUGUCUGUUUUCCACUCUUGUUUGUCCAUGUGUACCCACGGUUUAGCUUCCACUUAGAAGUGAGAACAUGAGUUUUUUUGACUUUCUAUUUCUCGGUCAUUUCACUUAAGAUAAUGGCCUCUAGCUCCCUCCAUGUUGCUGCAGAAGACAUGAUUUCACUGUUUUUUAUGGCUGAGGCUUCCCAUUGCUUGAAGUCAACCAGAAGACAGAGCACAAGGCUUCUUGUUGGUUUGAUCCAUGAACCUGGACACAGAACAAGGGGAGGACAGAUGGAGAACAUCCCUGGAGGCCAUCUUGAAGGUCUCCAGCAUCAUUUCGUGUGGAGCCCUAAGGAGUUAAAAGAAAACUUAAAGAAUGGGCUUAUCUGGGGUUGAGAGAAGCAAAUGUUCUGAGAAAUGGGGUCAACUGCAAAAGGCCCGCUAGCACCUAGUGCUCAGCUCACAGCCCGCCCGCACCCAAGCAUUCUGUUACAAGUGCUCAGCUCACAGCCCACCUGCACCCAAGCAUCUUGUCUACAAGCUUUCAGCUCACAGCCCAUCUAAACACAAGCAUCUUGUUUGCAAGCACUCAGCUCACUGCCCACCUGCGCCCAACCAUCCUGUCUGCAAGCACUCAGCUGAAGGAGCACCACCUUAUAAAACUUUCCCUCCAGCCCCUGCCUCUUUGCAGACAGCAGACAACCUUCCUUCUGCUGUCUUACCCAUUGCAUCCUGGCAAUGCAUGUCCUCCUUUCUUUAAUAAAUCUGCCUUUUAAAACUCA